UGGGCUCGCCGGCUCGUGGGUUGAAAAAGAGGGCACACCUUUAAGCUUUGGGAUAUUUCCAGAUCGAGCAGAGAGCCAUGGCGAACCUCCUCUCCUCGGCCCCGACCCACGCGACGCUCCCGGACUGCUUCGUCUUCCCGCCCGAUCAGCGCCCGCCGGCCUCCUCUCAGGCUGUCUCCCUCCCGGUCAUCGACCUCUCUCGCGGCCGCGACGAGGUCCGCCGCGCCGUCCUCGACGCCGGCAAGGAGCUCGGGUUCUUCCAGGUGGUCAACCACGGCGUCUCUCCGGAGGCGAUACGGGACAUGGAAGCGGUGUGCGCGGAGUUCUUCCGGCUCCCUGCGGAGGACAAGGUGGGCUUCUACUCGGAGGACACGGACAAGCCCAACCGGCUCUUCUCCAGCACCACCUACGAGCUCGGCGGGGAGAAGUACUGGCGGGACUGCCUCCGCCUCUCUUGCGGCUCGCCCGUCGGCGACACCAAGAACAACUGGCCCGACAAACCCCAAAAGCUCCGCGAGGUGGUGGAGAAGUUCGUGGGGCCCACAAGAGGCGUGGGGAUGGAGCUGCUGCGGCUGCUGUGCGAGGGGAUGGGGCUCCGGCCGGACUACUUCGAAGGGGACCUCACCGGCGGCGACGUGAUCAUCAACGUUAACCACUACCCGCCGUGCCCUGCCCCUGGCCUGACGCUGGGCCUGCCGCCCCACUGCGACCGGAACCUCAUCACUCUCCUGCUCCAGAGCACCGUGCCCGGCCUCCAGGUCUCCUACAAGGGCGACUGGAUCAAUGUCGAGUCCGCCGUGCCCAACGCCUUCGUGGUCAACUUCGGCCACCUGCUCGAGAUUGCGACCAACGGGGUUCUGAAGAGCAUCGAGCACCGGGCGAUGACCAACGCCGCGCUGGCACGGACGUCGGUGGCGACGUUUAUCAUGCCGGCCGCGGACAUCCCCAUCGGCCCAGCGGAGGAGCUCCUGGGCGAGGGCAACCCGCCGCGCUACCGCACUGUCACUUUCGACGAGUUCAUGCGCGUGUACAAGACCGUCGGCGCGCGGAGGGAGAGCGUGGAGAAGGCCUUCAAGCUUUAGACCCCAGUUCACCUUUAUCUGAUUUGGAGAUCAGUUGCAGAGCAGCAAAGAAACUUGGUUGGUGAUCUAGCUACUGGGAAAUAAUAAUGCCUGUACUGCUGAUGAUGCGUAGGUCGGAGUAAAAAAAAAAGCAACUGGUAAUUGUGAGGUGGAAAUCACGUUUCUGCUAUAUCGACGCUGGGUGGGUAAUAUCAUCGAAACAUGACACACAGAUCUUAGAUUCUGAAGAUUUAUGGUACAGCAUAAUGCCUAUCUCCAUUGGCCAAAGAACCCAGUCGACACGCAAAGCUCUUUUUUUAUCGGUGCCGGGAUUACCGGCAACCAGCUUGCCAAUCAGCACAUGACACCACAUCAAGCACUCAUAUACGGAAGAUGUAUUUCACUCAUUUUUCUAGAUUUGCAUGCAGUGUAUUUUCUACACUAGGACCCACCAUAUGUCAGAUGAAGGACACAUGCAUGUGUGACCAUCUCUUGCUGACACACAAGUACCUAUGAAGCACGCAUGCAUUUUGUUUUCGCUUUGACAAUUUCAAUCACCCAUAUCUUUUAAUCUAUAGUUUUAUUUUUAAUUUUUUUAUAUUUGAAC
rnacentral:rRNA from 1 species